rnacentral:rRNA from 1 species
GAUCCUGGCUCAGGAGUGAACGCUGGCGGCGUGCAUAACACAUUCAAGUCGAACGGAGAUAGAAGCUUCGGUUUUAUCUUAGUGGCGGACGGGUGAGUAACGCGUGAGCAACCUGCCCCUGUGUGCGGGAUAACGGUUUGGAAACGGACGCUAAUACCGCAUGACCCAACGGGACCGCAUGAUCUUGUUGGCAAAGAUUCAUUGCACAGGGAUGGGCUCGCGUCCGAUUAGAUAGUUGGCGGGGCAACGGCCCACCAAGUCGACGAUCGGUAGCCGGACUGAGAGGUUGAACGGCCACAUUGGAACUGAGAAACGGUCCAGACUCCUACGGGAGGCAGCAGGUGGGGAAUAUUGGGCAAUGGGCGAAAGCCUCGACCCAGCGACGCCGCGUGAAGGAAGACGGUCCUCGGAUUGUAAACUUCUUUUAUGUAGGACGAAGAAAGUGACGGUACUACAUGAAUAAGCCACGGCUAACUACGUGCCAGCAGCCGC